AUUGAACGCUGGCGGCAGGCUUAACACAUGCAAGUCGAACGGUAACAUAAAGAAGCUUGCUUCUUUGAUGACGAGUGGCGGACGGGUGAGUAAUGCUUGGGAAUCUGGCUUAUGGAGGGGGAUAACUACGGGAAACUGUAGCUAAUACCGCGUAGAAUCGGGAGAUGAAAGUGUGGGACCUUCGGGCCACACGCCAUAGGAUGAGCCCAAGUGGGAUUAGGUAGUUGGUGAGGUAAAGGCUCACCAAGCCGACGAUCUCUAGCUGGUCUGAGAGGAUGACCAGCCACACUGGGACUGAGACACGGCCCAGACUCCUACGGGAGGCAGCAGUGGGGAAUAUUGCGCAAUGGGGGCAACCCUGACGCAGCCAUGCCGCGUGAAUGAAGAAGGCCUUUGGGUUGUAAAGUUCUUUCGGUAGCGAGGAAGGCAUUUAGUUUAAUAAACUGGAUGAUUGACGUUAACUACAGAAGAAGCACCGGCUAGCUCCGUGCCAGCAGCCGCGGUAAUACGGAGGGUGCGAGCGUUAAUCGGAAUAACUGGGCGUAAAGGGCACGCAGGCGGUGACUUAAGUGAGGUGUGAAAGCCCCGGGCUUAACCUGGGAAUUGCAUUUCAUACUGGGUCGCUAGAGUACUUUAGGGAGGGGUAGAAUUCCACGUGUAGCGGUGAAAUGCGUAGAGAUGUGGAGGAAUACCGAAGGCGAAGGCAGCCCCUUGGGAAUGUACUGACGCUCAUGUGCGAAAGCGUGGGGAGCAAACAGG
rnacentral:rRNA from 1 species